GAUGAAGAACGUAGCGAAAUGCGAUACGUAAUGUGAAUUGCAAAUUCAGUGAAUCAUCGAGUCUUUGAACGCACAUUGCGCCCCCUGGUAUUCCGGGGGGCAUGCCUGUCCGAGCGUCAUUGCUGCCCUCAAGCACGGCUUGUGUGUUGGGCCCCGUCCUCCGAUCCCGGGGGACGGGCCCGAAAGGCAGCGGCGGCACCGCGUCCGGUCCUCGAGCGUAUGGGGCUUUGUCACCCGCUCUGUAGGCCCGGCCGGCGCUUGCCGAUCAACCCAAAUUUUUAUCCAGGUUGACCUCGGAUCAGGUAGGGAUACCCGCUGAACUUAAGCAUAUCAAUAAGCGA
rnacentral:misc_RNA from 1 species